rnacentral:rRNA from 1 species
AGGACGAACGCUGGCGGCGUGCUUAACACAUGCAAGUCGAACGAGGUCCACCGCGUAGCAAUACAAGGGAAGACCUAGUGGCGAACGGGUGCGUAACACGCGAGGAACUUGUCCCGGUCUCUGGGAUAACAGUUGGAAACGACUGCUAAUACCAGAUGACGUCGGAAUCUCGCAUGGGAUACUGACGAAAGGGUUACUGGAUCGGGAGAGCCUCGCGGCCUAUCAGCUUGUUGGUGGGGUAAUGGCCCACCAAGGCAUCGACGGGUAGCUGGUCUGAGAGGAUGAUCAGCCACACUGGGACUGAGACACGGCCCAGACUCCUACGGGAGGCAGCAGUGGGGAAUCUUGCGCAAUGGGCGAAAGCCUGACGCAGCAACGCCGCGUGCGGAAGAAGGCCCUCGGGUUGUAAACCGCUUUCAGCAGGAACGAAAUGACGGUACUUGCAGAAGAAGGUGCGGCCAACUACGUGCCAGCCAGGCGC